GGUACCAUUUUGUUUUUUUUUGUCUUUUUAAAAUAAUUCUUUUAUUGUGGUAAUUGUAUCUGGGGAGUGAGAAUUCUUAGUGAUAGUGGGCGUGAGCUCUUUCGUUAAUUUGAGGGUUUAUUUUUUGAAGAAUUUGCCUUUAGUAUAAUGAUUUUGUGAGGUAGUUUCAUUUGUGUAUAGCUCGAAAAACCUUGAUUUAGUUUUAUACAUAUGUGUAUUUUUUGUGUUGAAAUACAAAAGUAAGUUAAAAUUAGGGGUGAAAAAUUAAUCGUGAGGUUAGAUAGCUAGCUCUUGUUGUGUUGUUGUAUCAGUGCUCAUUUAGGUGGGUGUGAGCUAUUGGGGACAGCUUGGUAGGUAAUAAAGGUGCAUGUGUUAGUCUUCUUAUAAUAUGUUGUUAUAUCAUUAGUCUUAUAGGAUGGUUAGGUGCUAGGAUAAACAAGUGUUAAUAAUGCAAAAAUGAGUAUUUAGAAAUGUUGUAAAAUAUAAAUUUAAUCUUAUAAGCUGGGGAGAGUAAUUCAGCAAAAUAAUUGGCCUUAGCGUUUAAUAAAGGCGUAGCUUGUUGAUUUUUAUAGCAAGUCAGAUCUGCUCGGUGUGGAGUCUAGACUCAAAAACAUAAACGGCGGCUUGUGUUUUAAUGUAGCGUAAUAAUUUGUCUAUUAAUUGUAGACUAGUGAAGGAUUAGUAGGGCUAAGACUAUCUUUCUCCAUGUUGAUGAAAUUUUUUAGGGGUGAAAAUACCCCUAGGUCUUUAGGGGAAAAAAAGACCCUAGGUGGUUAAUUUAUUAAGUGUCUAUUAGCCGCUUUUAUAUUGAGCUGGGGUGGCUGCAAAUUAAGUGUAACAUUUGAGUUAAAGAGCUAAUUUUUAGUUUUUCAAUUGAGAACCAACCCUAGGGGUAACAGCGCUAAUAACUAUAUAAGUUCAUAUUUACUAGUUAGUUUACGACCUCGAUGUCGACUUAGAUUUACAAGUAGGCGCAGAAGCUUGUUUUGUUUGUUUGUUCACCAAUUAAAAAUCUACGUGAGUUGGGUUUAGAACGGGGUGACUUAGUUUUGAUUUUUUCUUAAUACGGUUCUCUAUGCAUUAAGUACGAAAGGAAUGGUGUGUUCUUAUGAAAUGUUAGGUAGCGAUACAUUUCACAUAUUUUGUGGGUGGGUUACAG
rnacentral:rRNA from 1 species